rnacentral:rRNA from 1 species
AUGGGGCUUGAAAUGUUCUUGAGUCUCCCAGAUGUGGAACUCCCACACUAUUUGGUUCAGCCGCUUCUGCACUUGGUCGACUGCCAACGUGGGACGGUCAAGAUUAAAAAAGAGCAUCUAGCAAUUAAGCCUUUGAUACCGGUCAUCCUGGGUCUUCCAUCUGAACCAGGGAUGGAUAAGUUGCCCUCAGUGGAUGACGAUCUUCUUGACACUGUAUUUCUAACGAAAAUCAUAGGUGCAGGUCUAGUGAUGGGAGAGUUUGGAGAUCAACUCAAAGAGAUAAAUGAUCCUGCGGUCUUCAAGCUCGCAUUUCUUUCGUUUAUCUUGUGUCACCUACUGUGCCCCAACUCGAAUGCCCACAUUAAGGAAAGUAUCUACUCCCUGAAGUCAAAGAUUGAGUCCAUACAGAAAGCAGGUUGGUGUAGCUACAUCUAUGACCAACUAAUGAUUGCUAUCCGCGAGUACAAGCACAAUUGUUCAUCGUGGAAGAAAGGAUCUAAGAAUAGAAGUUUUGUUCGUGGUUGCAUGUAUAUAUUGGCGGUCAUUCACCUGGACGUCUUGGAUACACCAGAGAAACCUGAUACAGGCUAUCCCCGUAUACUGCAUAUUAAAAACAACCACUUCCGACAGAUGAAGAAUCAUCAGUUUGAAUUUCUCCUUGUGAAAGAUACUGUCUACGCAAAUGUUAUUGCUAACCUCGAACAAGAACAAGAAGUUCAACCAGUAGUAAUAACCUCAGGCGCCAGAGAAAGUGAUGAUGUGCAGGGAUCACCAGCAGAAGCGCAAGCCUCUGAUGUUUGUGAUGGUGACGAAGCUCGAGGUUCUUCACUUCUUUGUGAGCAUGUUCCUGUUAUGGAGAAGAAACUUGCUUCUGCUGCUCCUCGGGAAUUGAUGGCUUCUUCUGCUGUCGGGAAUGAGAUCAGAAAAGAAUCUACUACUGCCCUGGUUGAACAAAUUGAGAGGCAAAUGUCUUGCACCCAGAUUGGACGAAAUACAGAUAUGGAAGUGGAUGUCAGCCUGCAAAACCCUGCAGUGUCACAAGUCCAGGAUGGUCCAGAUAAAGAAGAAAGUGAGGGGGUGCGAUUGGGUUCCAAGACAUCAAAGCUGCUGCUGGUACAUGCUGACCAACAGCCUGGAAUGGAGGACCGGCUAGUAGUCUCUUCAAAACCAAGGAAAGGAGAUGUGAGCAGUUCUUGCCCUAAGACAGGUUCCAUGUCUGCAGAAUCUGAUGUGAGCCAGGACAGCAACAGAGAACAAGAUAAGAUGGUGGCAAGAAAACAUGCUGAAGAUAAACCUGGUGCUGGAGGACACACUGCACCCUCACAUAAUGAUGUUGCCACCACAGACUACGAGAAACACUGCGUUUUCGCUAGUGAAGUCAAAGAUAAGCUGAGUGAUAUACAGAAAUGCUGGUUGCAAAGUACUGUCAACCACGAGGUGCCUGAAAUACCGCUUUAUGUUUGUAAAAUGAAACAAGGUCUGCUAAGCCAAAUGUAUUUCAGUGUCCCAUAUACGAGAGAUCAUUUCAGCAAGCAUAUUCGUGGGAGUAGUGGGGAAAUGAAAAUCAGCGCUACUAAUGGUGGAAACUCAGCGCGCAUGAAAUUUAAUAUCUCUGUAAGUAAGAGUCAUAGAAGAUUAACCUUCGGAGAAAAAGAAUGGAAAGUCUUCGUGAGCGCCAACAGGAUGGAAGAGGGUGCUUUGUGCGCCUUCAGUUUUAAAGUUGAGAGUGGGAAGCCUUCGUCCCUACUCCAAGAAAAGGCGGUUAGGGUUUCUGCCUCCCGUGGGCGGCGCGGCCGAUCUCCCAUAUCUGCUGUGGCCUUAGGGCCAUGGGUGAGCGGUGGAUCUCGGCCCUUGCAGACGAGGGGGCUCCGAUUUCAGGUGCUUCUUCAAGUUUUGUUAAGGUUUGUUUCCUGCUAUAGAAGAUGA